AUCAGUUAAAGUUUUUGAAUCACUCACGGAAGAGCUCCAGUAUAUUUAUGGCUGUGAACUUGAGGUGGAGAAAAGCCCAGGAACAACAUCAAGACUUACACAAGACGCUGGUCCUUUCCUGAGAAGUUGUGUUGCUACAAGAAUUUCUUCAGCGCUAGUGACCCCGGGGGAUCUCCUUGGUACCUGAAUUGUUCACAUCAGACCGAUCUUGAUGCUGUUGGCUGAGAUUACCCGCAGUUUUGAUGGCUGGCCUAAUGGAGAGUAUCUUGGAGAGUUGCCUGCUCACACAUUAUUCUGACACUGAAAAUUUCCACUUUAAUAUCGAUCCCAUGUAGCUCCAUACCUUAACAUUGUACUCACCAUUUCAUAACAGAAUGGUGCUUGGUGACUCAAUUAAUCCAACAUUUUCUACCAUUCUCCUCUGUCUGUGCUACCUCCAUGAGAGGAAGAGACAUUGGCAUGAGCCAAAAGCAAAGACUUACCCGCCUUCUGUGUUGCAGGUCUCUGUUUUGGUUUCCUUCAGUGU